GAAUCCCUACGGGACGCAGCAGUGGGGGAUAUUGCACAAUGGGCGCAAGCCUGAUGCAGCGACGCCGCGUGAGCGAAGAAGUAUUUCGGUAUGUAAAGCUCUAUCAGCAGGGAAGAAAAUGACGGUACCUGACUAAGAAGCUCCGGCUAAAUACGUGCCAGCAGCCGCGGUAAUACGUAUGGAGCAAGCGUUAUCCGGAUUUACUGGGUGUAAAGGGAGCGUAGACGGUAUGGCAAGUCUGAAGUGAAAGCCCAGGGCUUAACCCUGGGACUGCUUUGGAAACUGUUAGACUAGAGUGCUG
rnacentral:rRNA from 1 species